rnacentral:rRNA from 1 species
GAUGAACGCUGGCGGCGUGCUUAACACAUGCAAGUCGAACGGAAAGGCUCCUGCUUGCAGGGGUACUCGAGUGGCGAACGGGUGAAUAACACGUGGGUGAUCUGCCCUGCACUUCGGUAUAAGCUUGGGAAACUGGGUCUAAUACCGUAUAUGACCUCAUCGUGGAUGGUGUGGUGGAAAGUUUUUCGGUGUGGGAUGAGCUCGCGGCCUAUCAGCUUGUUGGUGGGGUAAUGGCCUACCAAGGCGUCUACGGGUAGCCGGCCUGAGAGGGUGUACGGCCACAUUGGGACUGAGAUACGGCCCAGACUCCUACGGGAGGCAGCAGUGGGGAAUAUUGCACAAUGGGCGGAAGCCUGAUGCAGCGACGCCGCGUGGGGGAUGACGGCCUUCGGGUUGUAAACUGCUUUCGCUAGGGAAGAAGCGAAAGUGACGGUACCUGGAGAAGAAGCACCAGCUAACUACGUG